GACGAACGCUGGCGGCGUGCCUAAUACAUGCAAGUCGAGCGGACAGAAGGGAGCUUGCUCCCGGAAGUUAGCGGCGGACGGGUGAGUAACACGUGGGCAACCUACCCUGUAGAUCGGGAUAACAUCGAGAAAUCGGUGCUAAUACCGGAUAAUCAUUUGAAGUGCAUGCUUCGAAUGUAAAAGAUGGCUCCGGCUAUCACUACGGGAUGGGCCCGCGGCGCAUUAGCUAGUUGGUAAGGUAAUGGCUUACCAAGGCAACGAUGCGUAGCUGACCUGAGAGGGUGAUCGGCCACACUGGGACUGGGACACGGCCCAGACUCCUACGGGAGGCAGCAGUAGGGAAUCUUCCGCAAUGGACGAAAGUCUGACGGAGCAACGCCGCGUGAGUGAUGAAGGUUUUCGGAUCGUAAAGCUCUGUUGUUAGGGAAGAACAAGUGCCGUUUGAAUAAGGCGGCACCUUGACGGUACCUACCAGAAAGCCACGGCUAACUACGUGCCAGCCGCCGCGGUAAGAC
rnacentral:rRNA from 1 species